AACGAACGCUGGCGGCAUGCCUAACACAUGCAAGUCGAACGAGACCUUCGGGUCUAGUGGCGCACGGGUGCGUAACGCGUGGGAACCUGCCUUUAGGUUCGGAAUAACUCAGAGAAAUUUGAGCUAAUACCGGAUGAUGUCUUCGGACCAAAGAUUUAUCGCCUUUAGAUGGGCCCGCGUUGGAUUAGCUAGUUGGUGGGGUAAAGGCCUACCAAGGCGACGAUCCAUAGCUGGUCUGAGAGGAUGAUCAGCCACACUGAGACUGAGACACGGCCCAGACUCCUACGGGAGGCAGCAGUGGGGAAUAUUGGACAAUGGGCGAAAGCCUGAUCCAGCAAUGCCGCGUGAGUGAUGAAGGCCUUAGGGUUGUAAAGCUCUUUUACCCGAGAUGAUAAUGACAGUAUCGGGAGAAUAAGCUCCGGCUAACUCCGUG
rnacentral:rRNA from 1 species